AACAGAUUUAAUGAGAUUUAAUGGACUCACCGGUUCUCUUCUCUCUCCUCUUUCUCUCCUCCCUCUUCCUCGGCCCGGCCCAAAGCGCGGCCCAUCCGGCCUGCCCAGUGGACUACCGCUGCUGCCCAACCGGUCCGCCUGUCCGGUUCCCCUUCCAGAUCCGCGGCCUCUAUCGGGACCGGUGCGGCUACCCGGGGUUCGACCUUUUCUGUGACUCCCUCAAUCGGACGAUCCUCAAGCUGGGUUCCUCCGGGGCAUUCGCGGUCUCGAGCAUAGACUACGUCGCCCAGAACAUAUGGAUCAACGAUCCGGACGACUGCCUCCCGAGCCGGCUCCUCCGGUUCAGCCUCAUCGGAACCCGGUUCGAACCGGUCAACCCCAUGUACUUUAAUUUCCUGAACUGCUCCGCCAACGCGUCGAUCCCCCCGCGGCAGAUUGUGCCGGUUCCGUGUGUCGGCGAUGGCGACGGUUUCACCGUGGUGGCGACGCCGUUCCAGUUCGUGGCGGAUAUUCUGGUGGCGGACGCGCUGUGCGGUAAGGUGGCGCAGGUUCUGUUGCCGGGUCGGCUACCGUUUUAUGAAUACGCGGUUGGGGAUCUUCCGGGUCUCGGGGACGACCUUUUGCUGACUUGGGACAAUCCGAAUUGCGGAAUAUGUGAAGAGCAGGGUGGGAUUUGUGGGUUCCAGGAUGGUGAAGGUUUCAGGAUUGAGUGCUCUAAUGUUCCUGACCAUGGCCUUUCAAGGAGUACCAAGUAUGGGCUAAUCAUGGGACUUGGAAUACCUGGGCUCAUUGGCAUAAUUGGAUUUGCAUGUCACAUCUGCAACAGGAUCAGGGCCCAAGGCCGGCGGCGCAACCUUGACAUGGGGUUAUCCCCCUUCUCAUUCUCCUCAGUUGCCCCACAAACUGUUGUGGUUGCGAGAGGCCUUGAUAGGUCCACUAUAGAGUCCUUCCCAAAGACUUUGUUGGGCCAGAGCCGAAGACUACCCAAUCCCAAUGACAGCACUUGCACAAUAUGUUUGUCAGAGUACCGGCCCAGAGAGAUAGUCCGGUCCAUACCUGAAUGCAAUCACUACUUCCAUUCAAAUUGCAUAGAAGAGUGGCUCAGCAAGAAUGCCACGUGUCCUCUCUGCAGGAUUUCAAUAGAGGGGGCAUCUUCCGUUACUCCUAAUACGAGUAAUUGAGUUUUGACACCAGCAUUGUCAUCACCAUGGAUCAUCAUCAUCUUCGUCGUCCUCACCAUCAUCAUUGUCGAUGAACCAAUUGUGUAUAUGCCAUUGUAUAUGAUGGAAGUGUAAUUAAGAAGGAUACGCUGUGACUCCAUUUACUCCAUUCAUGGGAUUCUCUAUACAAGGUCCUACAAUCGUCGGUUUCGGGAUUGCUGUAAGGCAAGUAGACUCGAUCUCCACAAUAUCAAUGAAACGGUUCUUCGAUAUUUGAACUUCAUUACCAGUUAAAUAUUACUUUCCAUUGAUCUCGGUAGAGAUUUCGGACAUCAUCUUUCAUAUGGAUAUCUCAUUAUCAUUGAUCUUUCAAUUGCUUACUUCCACACAGAGGGAGUAAGCAAGGGAGUGAAGGUGUUGAAUUUCCUCUGAAUAUCUUUUUCUCAUUGGUCCCUUCAUUUGAUAUGCAGAUUUAUUAGAAAA